AUAUCUCUCUGUACGGGAAGGAUGAGAAGCUUCGACUAAGGUUCGAUUCGAGCGUCAGCGAGAAAGCGUUGCCGCAGGCAACGACCCGAAGGGCGAAGCGCGCAGCGCUGAGUCAUCCUUCCCCCACCAC
rnacentral:sRNA from 1 species